GAUGAACGCUGGCGGCGUGCCUAAUACAUGCAAGUCGAGCGAACGGACGAGAAGCUUGCUUCUCUGAUGUUAGCGGCGGACGGGUGAGUAACACGUGGAUAACCUACCUAUAAGACUGGGAUAACUUCGGGAAACCGGAGCUAAUACCGGAUAAUAUUUUGAACCGCAUGGUUCAAAAGUGAAAGACGGUCUUGCUGUCACUUAUAGAUGGAUCCGCGCUGCAUUAGCUAGUUGGUAAGGUAACGGCUUACCAAGGCAACGAUGCAUAGCCGACCUGAGAGGGUGAUCGGCCACACUGGAACUGAGACACGGUCCAGACUCCUACGGGAGGCAGCAGUAGGGAAUCUUCCGCAAUGGGCGAAAGCCUGACGGAGCAACGCCGCGUGAGUGAUGAAGGUCUUCGGAUCGUAAAACUCUGUUAUUAGGGAAGAACAUAUGUGUAAGUAACUGUGCACAUCUUGACGGUACCUAAUCAGAAAGCCACGGCUAACUACGUGCCAGCAGCCGCGGUAAUACGUAGGUGGCAAGCGUUAUCCGGAAUUAUUGGGCGUAAAGCGCGCGUAGGCGGUUUUUUGAGUCUGAUGUGAAAGCCCACGGCUCAACCGUGGAGGGUCAUUGGAAACUGGAAAACUUGAGUGCAGAAGAGGAAAGUGGAAUUCCAUGUGUAGCGGUGAAAUACGCAGAGAUAUGGAGGAACACCAGUGGCGAAGGCGACUUUCUGGUCUGUAACUGACGCUGAUGCGCGAAAGCGUGGGGAUCAAACAGGAUUAGAUACCCUGGUAGUCCACGCCGUAAACGAUGAGUGCUAAGUGUUAGGGGGUUUCCGCCCCUUAGUGCUGCAGCUAACGCAUUAAGCACUCCGCCUGGGGAGUACGACCGCAAGGUUGAAACUCAAAGGAAUUGACGGGGACCCGCACAAGCGGUGGAGCAUGUGGUUUAAUUCGAAGCAACGCGAAGAACCUUACCAAAUCUUGACAUCCUUUGACAACUCUAGAGAUAGAGCUUUCCCCUUCGGGGGACAAAGUGACAGGUGGUGCAUGGUUGUCGUCAGCUCGUGUCGUGAGAUGUUGGGUUAAGUCCCGCAACGAGCGCAACCCUUAAGCUUAGUUGCCAUCAUUAAGUUGGGCACUCUAAGUUGACUGCCGGUGACAAACCGGAGGAAGGUGGGGAUGACGUCAAAUCAUCAUGCCCCUUAUGAUUUGGGCUACACACGUGCUACAAUGGACAAUACAAAGGGCAGCGAAACCGCGAGGUCAAGCAAAUCCCAUAAAGUUGUUCUCAGUUCGGAUUGUAGUCUGCAACUCGACUACAUGAAGCUGGAAUCGCUAGUAAUCGUAGAUCAGCAUGCUACGGUGAAUACGUUCCCGGGUCU
rnacentral:rRNA from 1 species